GAGACAGCAGCCGCCGCGGUAAAACGUAGGUGGCAAGCGUUGUCCGGAAUUAUUGGGCGUAAAGGGCUCGCAGGCGGUUUCUUAAGUCUGAUGUGAAAGCCCCCGGCUCAACCGGGGAGGGUCAUUGGGAACUGGGAAACUUGAGUGCAGAAGAGGAGAGUGGAAUUCCACGUGUAGCGGUGAAAUGCGUAGAGAUGUGGAGGAACACCAGUGGCGAAGGCGACUCUCUGGUCUGUAACUGACGCUGAGGAGCGAGAGCGUGGGGAGCGAACAGGAUUAGAUACCCCUGUAGUCCCUGUCUCUUAUAA
rnacentral:rRNA from 1 species